rnacentral:rRNA from 1 species
ACGUAGGUGGCGAGCGUUGUCCGGAAUUACUGGGUGUAAAGGGCGUGUAGGCGGGUUGUCAAGUCAGAUGUGAAAUUCCAGGGCUCAACCCUGGAGCUGCAUCUGAAACUGAUGAUCUUGAGUACUGGAGAGGGAAGCGGAAUUCCUAGUGUAGCGGUGAAAUGCGUAGAGAUCAGGAAGAACACCGAUGGCGAAGGCAGCCCCCUGGGUCGACACUGACGCUCAGGCACGAAAGCGUGGGGAGCAAACA